GGCGAUUGGGCCGACAGAGUUUGAUCCUGGCUCAGAGCGAACGCUGGCGGCAGGCCUAACACAUGCAAGUCGAGCGCCCCGCAAGGGGAGCGGCAGACGGGAGAGUAACACGUGGGAACGUACCCUUCAGUUCGGAACAACCCAGGGAAACUUGGGCUAAUACCGGAUACGUCCGUAAGGAGAAAGAUUUAUCGCUGAAGGAUCGGCCCGCGUCUGAUUAGCUAGUUGGUGGGGUAAUGGCCCACCAAGGCGACGAUCAGUAGCUGGUCUGAGAGGAUGAUCAGCCUCACUGGGACUGAGACACGGCCCAGACUCCUACGGGAGGCAGCAGUGGGGAAUCUUGGACAAUGGGGGCAACCCUGAUCCAGCAAUGCCGCGUGAGUGAUGAAGGCCUUAGGGUUGUAAAGCUCUUUCGCCCGCGACGAUGAUGACGGUAGCGGGAGAAGAAGCCCCGGCUAACUUCGUGCCAGCAGCCGCGGUAAUA
rnacentral:rRNA from 1 species